CUCACUCAUUGCCAGAUUGUCUUCACAGCAUGCAAUACUCUCCAGCGCUCUUCCUUGGUUUGAUCUCCCAGUUUCGACUCCGCUCGCCUCAUCCUCGUCUCUGCCCUGGUAAACCUAACUGCCUUCUGCCUUUGACUACAAGUUCAGCCUGUGUGCUCCUGGUUCUCGUCUGCCUGUGGCUGUUUGGCGUUACCACUCCGGCUUUCCUGGGAGAAAUCCCCUGCCGUUCUGUCGCCAUCUGAGCUGCCAGCCUGCAACACAUCCCCUCUGACUGAAUUGGUGAGGACACGUCCACUGCUGCUGGAUGGCUGAGGCCGCUGGCCACACUCUGCUGGGCUGCAUCACCAACCUGACUGGAACACCCAGGGACUACAAGAGAAAUUUUGAAUAAAGUAAAUUGUUUUGGAUAA